rnacentral:piRNA from 1 species
UGCCGUCAUUACUUGAUACAUUUCUGCUCC